CGUGCCUGGCCGGGGCUGUCCAAGGAACCUUGGUGGAUAACAAAUCUGAGUGAUGUGGGACCGUGCGCUAGGAGUUUCCACCCAUACUAGGAAAAGACGCUUCGUUUCGAAGCCCUCUUCUCUCGCCAUGGGAACUUGACUUUGUUGUUUCUUUGUUUGUGGGCAUCUUUCAAAUCCAAGACUUCGGAAUCUGAGUCCCGCAGUUCGCGCACCUAAUUGCCUGGACCCGGAGCAGGGAAGCUUUUCUUAGAGAUGCAGUGGUCCUUGAAGUCUGCGGAUUAUCGGUGGCAGAAACCCUGCCAGAUCAAGCUCCUGUGAGGGUUUCCUGUCCGGGUCAUGUGGAAGGAUGAUCCAAGGAAGACGGAUAUAUCCAUGCUUUUUUGCCAUUUGCUCAUUCUCAUCAUCACUGUAGAGAGCAUGGACCAGCAUGUUCAACUUAAGGAAACGUUGGCUAAAGCCUUCUGUGCUACAAGUAUUGUAGAUGAAAACUGAAUACGGACAUCUCAGGAAUUUGCUUUGGACCAUCGUGUACUGAGAACAUGCAACAAGGACCAGGGCUUUCUGGGAUCCACUCCUUUAAAGCCCGUGUCUUACUUUUAAGGAUCUCAUUCAGUGGAACACAUAAGGACAGAGCUAUCUGGUUUACCAGAAGUCAUGCUGUUCCGGUUGAGUCACACUGGGAAUUGCUCAUCCCUUGCAACACAAGGGGAAUGCUACCUCUCUCACCUAAAUUCAUCUAGCAAAAUGCAUUUGCAGUAAACUGUGACUUCCAUAUAUUUAUUGGAUUUUCCGGUUGGGAUAUUAAAUAUCUUCAGAGGCUAAUGUGCUGUGGGUUGGGCUCCAGUUGGAGAUGCAACCGCAAGGUGAAUGAAUCGUGUGAGCACUAACUUCAUCCAUUGAUAAGUUCAUAGAUAAAUGGGUUGAUAAGUGGUGGGGCCUUGUUGGAGUAAGUGGGUCACUGAGUGUGGCUGCCUGCUCUAUAGUACCUUUAAUGCUAUCUUAUAAAACUGGAGCAGGAAUCCAUUUGGAUCAGGACUUCCGAGUUUUCUGCUUCCCACCGCCGAUUUCAGACUUUAUUAUUUGGCUCCUCGAAGUAUGAUUGAACCAAUUCUCAUUUAUACAUAAUAGCCCUGUGUUAAAAUGCUCUUUGCAAAUGAAUGACAUGUAUAUUAUAUACAGUCAUUUUCUUGGUUGUAAAACAUACUGUUGGGCACAUGUAGAUCUUGUCAACUGAGUUCUUGGUGUAUCUUUCAUUUAAACAGUUUCUUCCCUCCAUGCUUGAUCUCCAGAUUUGGUUAUUCUACAUGAAUAUAACUUAUUUUUGACAUUUAUCACCAGUUAAGUUAUGGAGAAAAUGUUUCCUAUAAGAAAUGAUAACCACUGGGCAUGGUGGCGCAGGCCUUUGAUUCCAGGCAGA